GACGAACGCUGGCGGCGUGCUUAACACAUGCAAGUCGAACGAAGAGCGAUGGAAGCUUGCUUCUAUCAAUCUUAGUGGCGAACGGGUGAGUAACGCGUAAUCAACCUGCCCUUCAGAGGGGGACAACAGUUGGAAACGACUGCUAAUACCGCAUACGAUCUAAUCUCGGCAUCGAGGAUAGAUGAAAGGUGGCCUCUACAUGUAAGCUAUCACUGAAGGAGGGGAUUGCGGCUGAUUAGCUAGUUGGGGAGGUAACGGCCCACCAAGGCGAUGAACAGUAGCCGGACUGAGAGGAUGAACGGCCACAUUGGGACUGAGACACGGCCCAGACUCCUACGGGAGGCAGCAGGGGGGAAUCUUCCGCAAUGGACGAAAGUCUGACGGAGCAACGCCGCGUGAGUGAUGACGGCCUUCGGGUUGUAAAGCUCUGUUAAUCGGGACGAAAGGCCUUCUUGCGAAUAGUGAGAAGGAUUGACGGUACCGGAAUAGAAAGCCACGGCUAACUACGUG
rnacentral:rRNA from 1 species